UCAUAAUUCUUGCCUAGGAACUGGGUGCAUUUUCCUGUGUGUGUGUUUGUGUGUGUGUGUGUGUGUUCACCUGCUCAUUCUCCCUCUCCUGCAGAUCUCCUGCUCUGGGAUUUCAGCUCUAUAAGGAACUACGUCUUAAAGUAUGAAUAGUUCUCGAAUGCCUUAUAGAAAGAUCUCUGAGAUAUAUGAAAGUAUGGAGACAGAAAUUGUUGGCCCGUGUUACAGAAAUGAUUGUAAAGAGAUGCUCAAAGCCCAGACCUGUCCACAGGAUACCUGGCUGCUGCCAAGAGAAAACAGAGGAGCAGUAUUUGAGUCUGAACACAGAGAAAAUCAGAAGGUCUCAGGAAAGAGUCUUUAGAGAAUACCAACUCUUGAACAACAACAAAAAAUUACUUGGGACACAGGUGCUGUUUUUAUCAGUUAAUUCUGCUAAGAGUAUGGAUUUAAGAUGAAAGGGAAAGAGCUAAAAGAUCAAUGAUUCCCUGUCCAGAGAGUGUUGAUGAGCUGGAUUUGGAUUUGGGGCCCAUUGGCUUAAGAUACUGGAAUCCUGGGUUCUUGUCCAUGGGUGGUUCACAUUUCACAGGCACAGAAAAAAAUGUGUCUGCCUAGAGGCUAAACUGACAGAACCAGAAUCUUUUUAACUCAAUAUAGUGGGGAAAGGAGAAAAACAGUCAGAUAAACCCCGAAAAACAGUUACCAUGGAGGGUGGCAGGUAGAAACACGAAAGACGAGAUAGGGAAGAGGCAUGGCGAAGUCACAGGUGUGAUGGGGAGAGCCUUCUGUAUCAGUGGACAGAGCAUGGGGAAUUCACAGGGGUGGGGCUGGAGCUGAUGAUGCAGGUGGCUUGUCUGCUGUCACCAAGGCCUGAGGAAACUUCAAAGCAAGGUACAUCUUAGGUGCAGAAUAGGGCAAGAGGCAGGAGGUAGAGAGGCAGAAACAGUUGGUGAAUUUGAUCCCAGAGGGGGUUGCAGUGACUGGGGUCAAGAAGUAGGCUGGAUUCUCUCCAGGUUGCCAAGGGUUAUUCAGACUGACUAGUGCAUAUGCUUAGGAGGUGAUGAGUGGAGGGCAGCUUUUUAGAAGGCCUAUGGCUGGACCACAAAUACAUCUUUGGGAUUCAUUUCCAUACAUAUUAAUAAAGCUGGGUGGACUGGGAUUCAAGGAUCAGGUGGAGUUUCUUAUUGACUUAAUCAUCUAGUCAAAAAAAUGUGAAUUGAAUGCCUUUUUUAUUGGGGUGCUGAGGAUAGAGCACUGAAUGAAGGAGACAAGAGCCCUUCAGUGAUGGAGCUUAACUAAAACAUGGGAGGGAGACAGACUAAAUGUAAACAGGAUGGUCAUUCAACUAAUACAAACAUUUCAUACAGUGAUUUGUACUAUGAAAAAAAAAAAAGUGGUAAGACGGAGAGACUGCCAGUGGAGCUGUAGUGAGGUGGGCAGGCAACCUUGAUGGGGAGGUGGUCGGCGUAGACAUCUCUGAGGGCAUACUAUUCGAAUAAAGUCCUGAAUUAUGAGCUGGAUCCACAAUGUGAAGAAAUGGAGACAGAAUGGUCCAAGCAGAGGGAACCACUUUUGCAAUGGUCCUGACGGAAAACCCUACCUGGAAAGUUUCAAGCCAAGUUGUUUAGGGAAGACCUGAACAAAGACACGAAUAAAAUGAAGGAGUAAACCAUGAAGUUAAGCGGCCACGGGGAGGAAUAUUCAAGGCAGAGGCUGUAACAAAUACAAAUUAACAAAAAGGGCAUUCGUACGUAGAAGGUCAGCGGGCGAGAGGAGGAGUGGAUGUUGGGUAUUUGAGGAGUGAAGGGGUGUAUGAAAACCAGGAGAAUGACAAAUCUACUACUAGAGAAAUGAUGUGGCGGUGCCAGGCAGUGCUGUGUGCCCAUCUGAGGUUUGUGGUCAUGAAUUUAAAGUGAGACUACUCAGCUUGGUUCUGUGAUUAUUUUUUUCUUUCUCAGCAAUGUUAAGACUUAAGGAUGUCGGCACAGUAUAGGGUGAACUCAGGACCAGAGUUUAACCAAGUGAGUACGAUGAAGGGAAAAAAAAAAAAAGAGGAAGACAUCUGAGAUGCUUGUGAGUUAUUUUAAUGAUGGAAUUUAAGCUAAGGAGGGAGGAGGGGACACGAAAGGGGACGAUGAAUAGUGAAACUUCUCUAGGCUCGAACGAUUUAAAAAAAAUCUAACCCUGUAGGAGAAGAAGCCGCUUAGCUGCAUGUCAGGAAGCUGUGCACCUGUGUGGAAGUGUAGCAAUGUGUAGAUUUGAGGAUGAGAACACCAGACAGGCAUCUGGGUGGUUUUAAGAAGGAGCACAUACGUGGGGCCAGCUGGCAGAGAGGAGACUUUCCUGACCCAGAUCUCAACACAGCUUAGAAGCCUGCUCUAACCAGGAGGGCACCUUCAGGGAGUCUCAUUUGGCUAAAAGUAGAGCAUCUGACAAAUUCUUGUCUUACUCUGCUGACAGAAUCAUCAAUCAGCAAGUGGAGGGAGAGACAGGGAAGAUUCUACUUUAACAAGGAAGGAUGUCUUGGCCAAAGCGAAAUUGAUGGGAAUUUCGAGAGAAAGUGGAGCUGGUUCACUCAACUUCUCUAAAUGAGCCCAAUGCUCCUGGUUCACGAGAUCACUGAAUUCAAUAUUGGUGAUUUUUGUAGAAUGGUGAAAAAAUAUAAAAUAAUAUUGGCAAUACGUAAAGGUUCUGACUUCAAGGAAAAAGCUACUUUCUUUCUCUGCAAAAUAGCCAAAGGAAUACCAGCAAAAAGGAUAAUCAGAUGGAAAACUAAAUCGUUGCUGACCUUACCCAAAUGAUGAAGAUUAAUCAGAAGAUGUAUCUGGUGCCAACUGACAGGAAGCAGGGGUGAAGUGUUAGCAUAAAGGAAUCCCAAUCCCAAAUGGCCUCCAGGUGUCGUCACAGGGAGCUAAAUCUAUCAAUGGCAAUAAAUUGGUAAAAAGAGAAAAAGCUAUUUUUUAAUUGUGUGUUUAUAUGGAGUAGCAUCGAUACACCUUCUUGCUAGUCCUUAAGUAGCUCUGUAGUGGACUUCUUAUACUAACCUUACUGUUGAGGAAACUGAGGUUUGAUAAGGUAAUUGACUUUCUUGAAGUCUCAUAGGAUAUGAGAGAACCAAGAUUCAAGCCAGGUCAGUCUCUCUACAAAGAUCAUUCCACCAUGUCACUUGCUUCUGAGAAACAACUCUUGACGUAAAGCGUGUGUGAGAGAGCUUUGCAGUGACGAAGACAGUGGUUUUAGCUGACAGUAAACUCAUUUAGAACCAACAACGUGGUUUGGUCAUCACAAAAACACGAUCUCAGUUUGCAUCAAUAUGGGGUCGGAAUCUUAAAUGGUCACCAUGUGCACCAGCCAUGCCUAUGGUAAUGUGCCCCACUGUGAGUACCAUGAAAAGAGAUACAGACAAACCAGAUUGUAUUCCUAAAGCAAUGACCAAUUUAAUGGAAACUCAAAACUAUGGUGAAGGCUCAGCGAAGAAACUAAGCACUCAAAAAAGGGAAUAUUUAGAGGCAAUAUGAUGUCUUGCUUAACAUUUGAUGGGCUCUCUUGUGAAAGAGAAAACAGGCUUAUUCUGUUUGACGACAAAGUGACAGGACGAGGACUAAUUGAUAAAAAUCAGAGAUUCACAUAAAAUAAGGGCUAUCUGAUGAAUAUAUUAAGUUUCUCAUCCUGGUAUGUUUGCCAACUACUGAGCACAGGUAUCAUGGAAGUACUUCAAGCCUCAGAUGGGUGACUGUGUUACGUGACUUUUUUUAUUCCCUUCCAGCCCUAAGAUUCCAUGACUUUUCAUUUUAAGAAAGUCAAGUUUCUUUAUACACACGACUAUGUGGUUUUAUAACGUAUAAAUGCUAUUAUGUCAUGCCUGAUAUUUGUUCAAAAGUCAAGUCUGAUGCACUUCUUUUCCUUUUUAAAAUUGCAUUUCCCCUCCUCUUAUCCCUGCUACAGUCAUUUCAGCAGCUCUGCACCCCUAAGGGUUCAAAUCUCAGCUCUGCCACUUUCCAGCUGUGCAUCCUUGGACAAGUUACUCAACUUCUCUAUAAUAAUGCCUAGCUCAUAGGAUUAUUAUGUGGAUCAAUGAAUUCAAACUGGUGAAGCAUUUAGAACUGUGCCCAGCAUUCAGUAAGCACUCGAUAAACCUGAGCCAUUAUUACUUCUCAUGUGAUUCCAUCCAGGUCCACUGGGAGAGCACACGUUGACCAUGAAGGCUGCCCACCAUUCUAUGACUCACUCAGUCCCUCUUCAAUACCUAUUCUCUUUUUCCCCAGAUUUUCCCCUCAUACAAAUAGCGUGGCAAUAUGUAUGUGCUAUUAUGUCUUUUGUCUUGCUGUUUUUAUUUCGAUGAGAUUAAAACAGGAGCGGAUUGCUGGAUUGAAGGCUAUGUGUAUGCUUAAUUUUCAGAGACGCUGCCAUUUGGCUCUCACCAAAUAACGCUGCGAAGUCUUCACGCCACCUCCAGUAAUGCGUGGGUGCCCUUCUCCCCACGUGCCCAACAAGAGAGCUUUUUCACUUUUGCCAAAGUAAUAGGGAUUAGUAAAGUAAUAUUGCAUUUUUUCCUUUAAUUUGCAUUCCCAUAAUUUUAAGGAACUCAAAUUCAUGUUAGCUAGCCAUUUACUUAUUUUUCUACUGGGUCGUUGGUGUUUUUCUUGUCAACUUCUGAGAACUCUUUGUAUAGCGUAUAUAUUAACUCCUUAUGUGACUGCCCUUAAGACAACCUUGGUUCCAACCACGGCAUAACCAUGUUUGGCUCACUUCUGCACUACCAUUUCUACUUGAAUAUUCCUCCCUCUUUUUUUCUCCUGAGUACCUGGGAUGGAGAUUGGCUGGUAAGGAUGUAAACAUCCCACAAGAACACAGAAGGCACAUCACCCCAGAGUUCACAAGCGAGAAGAAAUAGGACUAAAGGGUGGGGUAGAUUGCAAAUACCUUGAGACAAAGCCUGUAUCUUCCAUUUUUUAAUCUCCUCCAAAUGACUUUCUUAUACAUGCGUCAAUAAAUAUUUAUAGAUUGGAUUUGACAUCUCUGAGUCUCACCGACUCAAGGGCACAGAAGAUGUAACUGAAGCUUCCUGAGUCUCACCAACAUUCUCUACCUCAAGAGCACAGAAGAUGUAAUUGAAGCUUCCAAGGUUCAGAUGCUAAACACAAAAAUGUAGGACUUUGGAGACCCCAAGCCCCAAAAGCUGGAGGUCUGUUUGGAGUCACAUUGUGUUCCUUUUGUAUCGCUGCCUCAGGAACUACUUGUAUAUUAGCAUCAAACACUGAUCAAAAGGGUGAGACCAAGGAGACUGAAAAUUCUGUAAUGCAAUGAAUCCCUUUAUCUCUGAUACUUGCGUUUGAGGACAAGUCACUGCUGAGAACCACAAAAUGUAUAUAAAGCACAUACUCUAUUCCUCUCAUGAGAGACAGGAAUCACAAAAUUGACAUUCAAGAUAUUUCAUUCAUUCAUUCAACGUAUUUAUUUAUUUUUUUUUUAAUACUGAUUACCAAACUCUGGGUGAGGCACAGGAAAUAUAAAGUCGGAUGAGAAAUUGCCCCUGCCUUCAACUUGCUCAGUUAGGAGAUGUGCUAUCACUUCUUCAAAUGUGGUAGCAGUUACUUCUGGAUGGUCGUUGGGUUUAGACCUCAAACCAUCACCUGGAGCAUCUGCUCUAGAAGUCAGUGUUUCACUGCGGACACUUUGCUAAUUCUGGUGGUGAGAAACAGAAGUACAGUUUCAGCCUCUCUUCAGUGUCUAGCCUAAGGUGAUUCACUUAGCUCCCACAUCACUGAAAUGGGAAUUCAUCCUACUAGCCUACUUCUGGGACAAGCUAUAAAACCCAUUACCCACGUGUGAGGCAUGAUUCUGACAGCCCAAGCUGGAGAAUAUCAUCAGCUGAAGUCUAGUAAGACUGGGUGAGGUGGUGGUUGAGAGAUUUCUGAAUGAGUCAGGCCUCUGGCGCUAAAUGUAUUAAUGAGUCAUUUUCCUCGCCCAGCAGACAGUGUGGCAGAAAGUGAAAGAAGAAGCCAUUCAAUGUCUGUUUUUUAAAAAUGUAUUCUGACCCUCAGUCCACCCAAGUAGAUUUCAACAUAUUUUAGCAUCUUAGACCUAAUACUUGCCACCAAAACAUUCUUAUGGUUCCUCUCAAUUUGGAAAAAGCUUGUGAGGACUUUUCUCCAGGAAUGAGGAAAUUGGUUUUCACCUCCUUUCAGGGGUUUCAGAAGAUAAAUUCCUAGCGGCCAGACACAGCAUUUAUUACCUUGCUUUGUGUAGCACCUAAAAUUCAAUUCUGAUUAUUCCAGCCUUCACUAAAAACUUCUGAAUGACAAGGAUGAUGACAAAUCAUGGACCUCACAUUCACCUGCCUUAUAUGAUUUUACAGGCCUUCAUCUCCAGUCUGUACCAGCUUCCUACCUGCGUAGCUAUACCCUGAGUCUCUUCGUAGGAGAUUUCCCAACCAAGAUCUCAAAUUGGUCAUUUCAUCUUUCUACUGCAACGUCCUCAUCUGGUCUUCCUUCCAUUCAGUCAUAAGAAGUAAAAAUCCUCUAUUAGCUCCAACUACUUAUCAUUCUUUCUCCAACACAAGCACAUGGAAGCCUGUCUAACUUUUUUUGAUGCUUCAUUCAGCUUGGGCGGCUCCAUAGUCAACUAUUAUAACAUUGCCCCCAUCAUCCUAGACCCCCUACCCGUGUGGCAUUUUGCCAUCACACCAAUCCCAAACCCCUAAUCUGCAUCCACUGUACUCUCUGGACCUGCCCUUGACAAUCUGAGACCAUGGAAUAAAGACUGAAAGUCUUAUGGGAUUUGUCUCUUGCAAAUUUACACUAUAAACUUCACCUGAUAUGCGGGGCAAUUUUAAAAUUCUGUCAGAAGACUUAAAACAUUCCUCCCAGUCAGUAUUUCCAAGUACUCCAUCUUCUUCGAAUCUCCAGCCACAUCAUUCUUGAUCUUCACAAGUUAAUUUGCCUUCUUAAUUUAUAGAAAGUGUUAAUGCUGUUUCAUAAUUCUUCCCCUUCUUCCUUCUUCACCCUCUCUCCUCUGUGUAUGUGUGUGAAUACAUGUAUCUCUAUAUCAUCUAUCUAUCUAUCUACCUACCUUCCUACCUAUCUAUCUAUCUAUUAUCUAUCUAUCUAUCAUCUAAAACUCCCUGUGGUAUCUGCCUUGGCUCGGGCUUUGUGAUAGACUUGGAAAUUGUCCAUAUUCCCCUUGAAGGAAUGACUUUCUGCCCAGUUAUGGGCAAUGUGACCAGCUCCUUCAGGGUCUACCUCAGCUGCAGAGAGUUCCCUUGCCUGACCUCACAUCCUUAUAAGAGUGGCCCACAGCUGUGACUGAAGAAAGCAAAAACAAAAAAGUCCCAGCCAUUUCUUCCCACCUUGUGGGAUGAUCAAUGAGCAACCCUCACUCUCGGACUCCUUGCCACAUCCAACCCUCUCUACCUAAUCCUGCUACUCCAUCCUUCCUUUGGAAGUGUCCAUCCUUAAUACAUAUCUUGACCCCAAACUCUGUCUCAGUAUCUCCUUCUGGAGAAGCCAGUCUAGAAGUGGUCCUAGAACACAGGCAGAAAUUCUGGCUGCUGUCUGGUAGUAAGGAGAUCAUUGCUGGUGGAAGGUGAAUCACAGAUGGCCCCUGGCACAAGGCAGCUAUGACACAGGCCUAUGUUCUCAUCCCCUGAUGACUCCACUACAAGCCCUACCUUGAUACUUCUAGACGGGCAUUUAAGGAGCUGAUGACCAUGGUUCCCUUGCUAUUUACCAGCCAUCCCUGCAAAACAGGGGGUCCAGGCUCUGUCUAAGCCAUGUCCAACUUAAAAUUUUUAGUAUAUUUAGGAAACUGAUGGCAAGUAGUUAUCAAAAAUCAGUUGGUUUGAGAGAUGGAUGAGCUUCUUGGAAAAUAAAUUGGUCUUAAGAAGACAAACUCAUAAAUGUUGUUUAAGAGCACUAGGCCAGUGUCAUGGGAGAGAUGCAGUUGUGAAUUCAGCUAAGCCUUUGCUGCUGAAAUCAUGUCUAACCUAUUUAUCCCCUCUCUGGCUUACCUCCAGCGGCCCCAAGCCCGUGCGCUUAUACCAUGGCCAUGGAGAAAGACCUUAGCGGCACCGGGCCAACAUAAUCCACUCUGGCUGCCCUAGUGUGAAACCUCAGUCAAAAGGUGAAACCCCACACAAGAGAUGAAAACCACUCUGGGUAAUACCUUAUGUCUUCGAUAUUUUCUUCCUCAGUCUUGGCUAUGACUUUUUCUCUGCUCAAAGGUGACUGUUUCUUCUGUACAGCACAGGGAACUAUACUCAAUAUUUUGUAAUAACCUUUAAUGAAAAAGAAUAUAAAAACAAAUAUUUGUAUGUACAUGCAUGACUGGGACACAGUGCUGUACAUCAGAAAUUGACACAUUGUAACUGACUCUACUUCAAUAAUUAAAAAAAAAAAAAGAAUCAUCCAACACAUGGAAACAACCCAAAUGUCCAUCAACAGAUGAUUGGCUAGGAUGACACCUGCACCCCAAUGUUCACAGCAGCAUUAUUUACAAUAGCCAAGACAUGGAAACAGCCUAAAUGUCCAUCAACAUAUGAAUGGAUAAAGAAGAUGUGGUAUAUUUAUACAAUGGAAUACUACUCAGCCAUAAAAACUGACAACAUAACACCAUUUGCAGCAAUAUGGAUGCUCCUGGAGAAUGUCAUUCUAAGUGAAGUAAGCCAGAAAGAGAAAGAAAAAUACCAUAUGAGAUUGCUCAUAUGUGGAAUCUAAAAAAAAAAAGCAUAAAUACAAAACAGAAAUAGACUCACAGACAUAGAAUACAAACUUGUGGUUGCCAAGGGGGUGGGGAGUGGGAAGAGAUAGACUGGGAUUUCAAAAUUGUAGAAUAGAUAAACAAGAUUAUACUGUAUAGCACAGGGAAAUAUAUACAAGAACUUAUGGUAGCUCACAGAGAAAAAAAUGUGACAAUGAAUAUAUAUAUGUUCAUGUAUAACUGCAAAAUUGUGCUCUACACUGGAAUUUGACACAACAUUGCAAAAUGAUUAUAAAUUAAUAAAAAAUGUUAAAAAAAAAAAAAACCCAGAUGAUUGGCUGAAGAUGUGGUAUAUAUAUAUACAAUGGAAUACUAUAAUAAAAUAAUGCCAUUUGUAGCAACACUGGAUGGACCUGCAGAUCAUCAUUCUAAGUGAAGCAAGCCAGAAAGAGAAAGGAAAAUGCCAUAUGAUAUCACUUAUACGUGGAAUCUAAAAUAAAGGGCACAGGUGAACUUAUCUACAAGACAGAAACAGACUCACAGACAUGGAGAACAAACUUAUGGUUACCAGGGGGUAAAAAGGGUGGGAAGGGAUAAAUUGGGAAUUUGAAAACUGCACCUCGGGGAGUGAUGGAAAUGUUAGCUAUCUUGAUUGUAGUAGUGGUUUCAUUGGGGUAUACAUCUAUCAAAAUUCAUCAAAUUCUACAUUUGAAGUAUGUGUAGUUUACUGUACAGGAAAUAUACCACAAUAAAGUUGUUUAAAAAAAGAAAAUUAGCAGA